ACGGGAGGCAGCAGUGAGGAAUAUUGGUCAAUGGGCGGAAGCCUGAACCAGCCAGUAGCGUGCAGGAUGACGGCCCUAUGGGUUGUAAACUGCUUUUGUCAGGGAAUAAAAAGGAAUACGUGUAUUCCAUUGCAUGUACCUGAAGAAUAAGGACCGGCUAAUUCCGUGCCAGCAGCCGCGGUAAUACGGAAGGUCCGGGCGUUAUCCGGAUUUAUUGGGUUUAAAGGGAGCGCAGGCGGCCUUUUAAGCGUGUUGUGAAAUGUAGGGGCUCAACCUCUGCACUGCAGCGCGAACUGGAGGGCUUGAGUACGCGGGAAGUAGGCGGAAUUCGUCGUGUAGCGGUGAAAUGCUUAGAUAUGACGAAGAACUCCGAUUGCGAAGGCAGCCUACUGUAGCGUUACUGACGCUGAAGCUCGAAGGUGCGGGUAUCGAACAGGAUUAGAUACCCUGGUA
rnacentral:rRNA from 1 species